UGUUCGCUUUAUCGGAAUAGUGCA
rnacentral:siRNA from 1 species